GAUGAACGCUAGCUACAGGCUUAACACAUGCAAGUCGAGGGGUAACGAGAGGAAAGCUUGCUUUCCUUGUCGACGACCGGCGCACGGGUGAGUAACGCGUAUCCAACCUGCCCCCAACUAGGGAAUAACCUUGCGAAAGUAAGACUAAUACCCUAUAAUUUCCUCAGAUGUCAUCUGACGAGGAAUAAAGAUUUAUCGGUUGUGGAUGGGGAUGCGUCUGAUUAGCUUGUUGGCGGGGUAACGGCCCACCAAGGCAACGAUCAGUAGGGGUUCUGAGAGGAAGGUCCCCACAUUGGAACUGAGACACGGUCCAAGCUCCUACGGGAGGCAGCAGUGAGGAAUAUUGGUCAAUGGGCGGAAGCCUGAACCAGCCAAGUAGCGUGCAGGAUGACGGCCCUAUGGGUUGUAAACUGCUUUUAUACAGGAAUAAAGUUAGCCACGUGUGGUUAUUUGUAGGUACUGUAUGAAUAAGGACCGGCUAAUUCCGUGCCAGCCGCCGCGUAA
rnacentral:rRNA from 1 species